GGUAAAGCAGUUGGCACGUCUAGCGAUUUGGUGGUACAGGUUGUUCUUAUAGCAGAGAGCAUGAGAUUACAGGCAAUGAUGGCCACUUACGGUAUUCAGACGCAGACGCCUCACGAAGUAGAACCCGUUCAGAUCUGGCCUCCCAGUCAAUUAGUCAAAGUUUAUGAAUUUCUUGGGGUGACGAGGAAGCUCGGUUUAAAGGGAAGACCACCACGUCCGAUUGGCGCACUAGGCACAAGCAAGCUUUAUAGAAUAUGUGGUCAAACAGUUAUUUGUUAUCCAUUAAUAUUUGAAGUUAGUGAUUUUUAUCUGUCUCACGAUAUGGCUCUUCUGAUUGAUGACAUUAAAAAUGAACUGCAUUUCGUGGGCAAGUAUUGGAGAAUGUCUGGUAGACCAACAGUCUGCAUUCUGAUCAGAGAAGAACACAUGAGAGAUACACACUUUAAAGAAAUGCUGGAUCUAUUAGCAAUGUUCAAGAAGGGUCACUGUGACGGAUUAAAGAUUCGUACCGGUAGACUUCAAAAUCUUAUAUCGUCAUCUUGUAUAGAACAUCUCGACUUCCUUCAUUUGCUACCACCUGAUAUUAUUCCAAAAUUUGAAGCAUUUCAGCAGUUAGAGCAUACUUCAAUUGGAUAUCAAAGUUUAACCGAUAUUCCUAAAGCAAUAAUUUAUAGCGAACCUACUUACAAUUUUGAGGAGUUCACACACAAAUCUACUAAAGAUAUUCUGGAUGCCAUUUCUCAAACCGAUACCCUUCACGGACAGAGUCAGCUAUUAGGCAUUCUUUGGUAUCGUGAAGGACCGCAGUUUUGGGUGGAUGGAAUAACAGUGAAGGAAAGACUUGAAAAACUGACGAGGCAGGCUGGAGCUCUCAGGCAUUGGUCUGUAGUACGUUACUGUUCUAGCGUUCUGGAGAAAAUGGUCGAUAGCAUCAGUCCUUACAUUACAUCAACCCUAGUCAGCGGCAAACAGAUUACAGUCGGUAUUUUCGGUCACGAAGAAGUGGUCAUCGAUCAUCCUCUAACUCCCAAAGAAGUAAAAGGCAUUAUAUACGGUCAGUGUCAGCAUCAUGAUAUUUAUCAAGCAGUUCUUCAACAAGAAAUUAUUCUCUAUAUCGGAAGACUCAUUUCUACGUCACCGCAUCUGUUUCAUGGCAUUUUGAAACUCAGAGUGGGCUGGAUUAUUCAAGCCAUGAUUCUUUAUUUGAAAUUCCUGAAUGAGAAUCCUCCAGCGUUACACAGUCUUUCUCCUAGCGAUUUACGAAAAGUCCUUUUUAAAGUGCUUGAAACGUCAGAUAAUGUUGCAUCUAAUAAUAACAGUAAAGGAAAGACUUGAAAAACUAACGAGGCAGGCUGGAGCUCUCAGGCAUUGGUCUGUAGUACGUUACUGUUCUAGCGUUCUGGAGAAAAUGGUCGAUAGCAUCAGUCCUUACAUUACGUCAACCCUAGUCAGCGGCAAACAGAUUACAGUUGGUAUUUUCGGUCACGAAGAAGUGGUCAUCGAUCAUCCUCU
rnacentral:misc_RNA from 1 species